rnacentral:rRNA from 1 species
AAUGAACGUUGGCGGCGUGGAUUAGGCAUGCAAGUCGAACGAUAUCUGUAGCAAUACAGUGAAAGUGGCGAAAGGGAGAGUAAUACGUAGGUACCUGCCCUCGGGUCUGGGAUAGCUGCGGGAAACUGCAAUUAAUACCGGAUGACGUCUCUGGACCAAAGGUGUGAUUCCGCCAGAGGAUGGGCCUGCGUCCUAUCAGCUAGUUGGUGUGGUAAUGGCGCACCAAGGCUAAGACGGGUACGGGGUGUGAGAGCAUCGCCCCCGCUCACUGGGACUGAGAUACUGCCCAGACACCGUACGGGUGGCUGCAGUCGAGAAUCUUCCGCAAUGGGCGAAAGCCUGACGGAGCGACGCCGCGUGUGGGAU